GAAUUUAGAAAGUUAUUUUUAUUAUUAUUAUUAUUUGAAUUUAUGAACUUCAUUUUAUUUUUCUUGAUUUUUUCCUGAAUUUGUAUCAAUUUUUAGAAUUUAUAUUGAAUUUUUAUCUAAUUUAUUUGUUUUUUUAUUAAUUAAAAUAAUCAAAAAAAAUUAAAGCAAAUCUCCACGUCGUCAUCGAUUUUACCUGUUAAUGAACACUAACCGAUAGCAAUUGGGACAACGAGUAAAUUAGUUCCGAUGUUAAUAUAUAGGACUCACGUAUUUUUAUUUCAAAUGAAUUUUCCGGUUCGUAAAUUUACGUUAAGCUAAACCGAAAGUUAUUGGUAAAGAAAAUUUACAAACCGACAAUUCCGAUCAGAACCGUAAACGGAACAGCUUGACCACAUUUGAAAUUGAAAGGAGUGUUCCCGAGAGGAGAGGGGCUAAAAAGAAAAACGAGUGAAUUCAAAUUGGCGUUUCUCAAGCUUUUGACGUAUCUUCCCAAAAAUACACUCAUUUUUCUUCCAAUCCAAUCCCCCACCAAAAUCCCCACAAACCAUCAAUCCAUUGCCGCCGGGAAAAAACCCAAAACGACGUUCUCUUCACCAUUUUCCAUGCUGGGAUCGUCUUCAUCUCUACACCACCAUUAUUACUACAGCUGGAAACAGAAAUCUCUGGGAUUCUUUGUACCAAGAAGAAGGUGCUAAGGACACUUCUCACAGAUUCUAAACGAACGAGUAUGUCAAAUUAGGUACAUUUGGAUUGUGUUUUGUCUCUAUUGGAAUUUGGUACACUUCAUGCUUUUUAUGCUUAAAGGUCUAUGAGAUUUCAGGUAUCUGAUGAUGAGGAUGAUUCUUUUCAAAAACUGCCCAUCUUCAGAUUCCUCAAGAUUAGGCGCUUUGUUUUUUGUUCUGUGUUUGGGGGCUUAAUUCCAUUUGCCAAGUAGAAAUUCAGUGAUAUACCAAUUUCUAGGUUAGAAUAAGCCAUCUUGUCAGUUAUAUAAGUAGUACAUGGACCUUUAUGCCAAAGAAUAAGCCAUCUUGUCGGUUGUUUUUCUCGUCACCAACCCGACCAACUCUUUUUCCGGACGUUGCAUUGUCCAGGAAAUGAAUUGCUCUUAUUCCUCUGAUACCAUUUGAUUCGGUUUUGGUAACUAGAAAGAAACAACAAUUAUAUUAAGAUAGAACGGUGCUUAUAAGCUUGAGAGAUAUUAGAAACUCUCACCUCCCAUGAACAUGGUGAUCUAAUAAUCUUAACUUCUUUUUAAUUCUCGCAGUUUUUGAUACUUGUAUACUGCUAAUGACUACUUAGAAUAAAGGACACAUUAAUCAAGCCCACAAUCACUCUUACCCAUCAACCACUGGUGAUGGGACUUGGCAAUAGCAUACGUAUCAAUAUCUGUUACAGAAAGAUCUCUUGCUUAUGUUGGUAUCUUGGUUUUAAAUAGCCAUCGCUUUGGUCGCCAUGGCGCGAGGCGAGGUGUAGCGGUGACCUCGUCGCUUCAUCAUCUCAAAGCCAAGCGAGGUACACAUAGCGAUCGCUAUUGAACGCUUUAGUAGUACUCCCUCCGUUCCUAAAAUAUCUAUAUUCUAGAGAAAAUUUUUGUUUCAAAAAGAUACAUAUUUUAUAUUUCCAAUGUAAUUUUUGUCAAUUAAUAAUGAGAAAUUGUGAAGUCCAAGAACAUUAAUUGCAUUUUUUUAAGAUCUUA